rnacentral:rRNA from 1 species
CGGAGGGUGCAAGCGUUAUCCGGAUUCACUGGGUUUAAAGGGUGUGUAGGCGGGCAUGUAAGUCAGUGGUGAAAUCUCCGGGCUCAACCUGGAAACUGCCAUUGAUACUAUAUGUCUUGAAUUUUGUUGAGGUUGGCGGAAUAAGUCAUGUAGCGGUGAAAUGCAUAGAUAUGACUUAGAACACCGAUUGCGAAGGCAGCUAACUAAGCAAACAUUGACGCUGAGGCACGAAAGCGUGGGGAUCAAACAGGAUUAGAUACCCUGGUAGUCCACGCCCUAAACGAUGAUUACUCGACAUACGCGAUACACAGUGUGUGUCUGAGCGAAAGCAUUAAGUAAUCCACCUGGGAAGUACGUCCGCAAGGAUG